GGAAGUAAAAGUCGUAACAAGGUUUCCGUAGGUGAACCUGCGGAAGGAUCAUUACAUUCAGUAGCCUAGCUACUUGUUUAUACCCUUGUUUUUUGCGUACCUAUUGUUUCCUCGGUGGGCUUGCCUGCCGGUUGGACAAAACUUAUAACCUUUUUAAAUCUUCAAUCAGCGUCUGAAUUAUACAUAAUAAUUACAACUUUCAACAACGGAUCUCUUGGUUCUGGCAUCGAUGAAGAACGCAGCGAAAUGCGAUAAGUAGUGUGAAUUGCAGAAUUCAGUGAAUCAUCGAAUCUUUGAACGCACAUUGCGCCCCUUGGUAUUCCAUGGGGCAUGCCUGUUCGAGCGUCAUUUGUACCCUCAAGCUCUGCUUGGUGUUGGGCGUCUUGUCUUUUCUUUUGUGAUUAGACUCGCCUUAAAGUAAUUGGCAGCCAGUGUUUUUGGUAGUAAGCGCAGCACAUUUUGCGUCUUAGUCUCUAAACAGCGGCAUCCAUAUAGCCUCUUUCUCACUUUUGACCUCGGAUCAGGUAGGGAUACCCGCUGAACUUAAGCAUAUCAAUAAGCGGAGGA
rnacentral:rRNA from 1 species